rnacentral:lncRNA from 1 species
UUUUGGGGAAAGGACGCUAAGACGUCAAUUUCAAACUUAUUAUAUCAUCAUAAUGUAAUUUCUUUUGAAACAUCUAUUACAAUCAACAAUGUAACUUUUUAAAUUAUAUUUAUGAUGGUUGUGUUUGCUUUCUUUACUAUUUACUCAACUGUUCUGAUACUACAUGAAGUCAUCCGCCUUCGAACAAUUCCGCCGUUCUGGUUUAGAGGUUUGACAAAGGCCCUGUUUAAUAAGUCAUCCGCCUUCGAACAAUUCCGCCGUUCUGGUUUAGAGGUUUGACAAAGGCCCUGUUUAAUAAGUCAUCCGCCUUCGAACGAUUCCGCCGUUCUGGUUUGGGGGUUUGACAAAGGCCUCGUUUAAUAGUUGUUGACUGAGAAAGUGCUGAUUGGGAAAGGUCUAUCUAGGUAAGAAAUCCUGAACGAGUAACAAAUCAUGUUGUUUGAUUGUACAUCUGACCGGAUGUGCGGAAUGAUGACAAAUGACCAUUUUACCCUCGUUCUAAA